rnacentral:rRNA from 1 species
UACGGAGGGUGCAAGCGUUAUCCGGAUUCACUGGGUUUAAAGGGUGUGUAGGCGGGUAUUUAAGUCAGUGGUGAAAUCUCCAGGCUCAACCUGGAAACUGCCAUUGAUACUAUUUAUCUUGAAUAUCGUUGAGGUUGGCGGAAUAUAUCAUGUAGCGGUGAAAUGCAUAGAUAUGAUAUAGAACACCGAUGGCGAAGGCAAUCCCCCUGGGCCUGCACUGACGCUCAUGCACGAAAGCGUGGGGAGCAAACAGG